rnacentral:tRNA from 1 species
AAGACUUUAAGUUAAAAAAACUAUAUACCUUCAAAGUAUAAAUUAUCAAAAGUUAAGUCUUA